rnacentral:rRNA from 1 species
UACGUAGGGUGCAAGCGUUACUCGGAAUUACUGGGCGUAAAGCGUGCGCAGGCGGUUGUGCAAGACAGAGGUGAAAUCCCCGGGCUUAACCUGGGAAUGGCCUUUGUGACUGCACGGCUAGAGUGUGUCAGAGGGGGGUAGAAUUCCACGUGUAGCAGUGAAAUGCGUAGAGAUGUGGAGGAAUACCGAUGGCGAAGGCAGCCCCCUGGGAUAACACUGACGCUCAUGCACGAAAGCGUGGGGAGCAAACAGG